rnacentral:rRNA from 1 species
UACAGAGGUCCCAAGCGUUGUUCGGAUUCACUGGGCGUAAAGGGUUCGUAGGCGGUUUGCCAAGUCUGAUGUGAAAUCCCGCAGCUUAACUGCGGAACUGCAUUGGAAACUGUUUGACUAGAGGAAUGGAGGGGAGACUGGAAUACUUGGUGUAGCAGUGAAAUGCGUAGAUAUCAAGUGGAACACCAGUGGCGAAGGCGAGUCUCUGGACAUUUCCUGACGCUGAGGCACGAAAGCCAGGGGAGCAAACGGG